UACAGAGGGGGCAAGCGUUGUUCGGAAUUACUGGGCGUAAAGCGUGUGUAGGCGGCUGUUCAAGUCGGGUGUGAAAGCCCCGGGCUCAACCCGGGAAGUGCACUCGAUACUGGAUGGCUUGAGUCUUGGAGAGGUUGGUGGAAUUCUCGGUGUAGAGGUGAAAUUCGUAGAUAUCGAGAGGAACAUCGGUGGCGAAGGCGGCCAACUGGACAAAGACUGACGCUGAGACACGAAAGCGUGGGGAGCAAACAGG
rnacentral:rRNA from 1 species